AUGAAGCAUCCCCAGACUGAUGCUGGGCCUUGGAAACAGAGGAGCGAGCACAGCACUCUCGUCACGGAGCUCAGAAGCAAGAACUCCAUGCUGGCGUGGCACACAGUGCAGUUUCUACCACUCCCAAAGGCUCUGAGAGCUGCACGUCAAUACGGAUUGCUUGUAUCUCUUUCGCCACAAGUAUAUGUCCUUACAUUUAUCAUUCGGUGCCAGUAAUGUUCUUGGGAAGUGUUAGCCUUUGAAAUGCAGACCAUGCAUUUUUGAACAGAAAAAAAUUAUUUUGUACAAAUGAAAGUAUUGCCUGGAUAUGUGUUGCUUUCUAUUGAAGUGUAGUAAAGUACUAAGUUUAACGUCCCAGUAGCAUCAGUCACAUUUAUUUGCCAAAUACUCACCUGCAUGCUACCUUCCCCAGAAGGAUGCUUCCAGCAUCAUUGUAAUGUACAGAAACAGUGAAUUUCUGUUCCUGAUUCACAGUCCUUUGAUAUUUUAAAAAUUCCAGUGCCUAAUUCAAAAUGAGACAUUGGUUAGUGUCCUAGCAUCAUGUCUGUGCUUAUUUUAAUUUCAUUCCUUGGGGAAAUUAAUAGUUCUGAAAACCUAGAGGGACAUUCCCGCUUAAAGCUUCAAAAAACUGCACAUUUUCCCAGCGGCUGUGUAAACUGCUGACUUACUCAAAGGGUGAUGGAGCUGGCACAGCUGGAUCACUCCCGCCUUGUCUGACCAGAGAGCUCCUACUCAGGGCCAUGGCAGAACAGGAUCUCCAGAUGUGUGGUCCUGUGCUCACCCAGUGCUGGCCCUGCCUGCACUGCAGCGUGCUCCUGGGUGAAAGCGGCCCACGGCGUGCUGCUGCCUUUAGUGUUAAUUGCAUCACGCUGGUGAAGUCCUGGGAGAGCUGAAGGGACUAUACAGAGUGAUAAACAGCUUUUUUUCCUUCUCUUUUUUCCUGUGUGACUGCUAUGUUUUUAAUUAGUUUUGUCUUUGGAGUGACCUAAUAGCACACAAUACUGGAUGUUUAGGCACUUUUCCUUCUGCUUUUGGUUUCACUAAAAUAAUUUUUCUCUGACACGUGAAUUUUCAGCAGGGCAAGCGUGAGUGAGGAAUGUGUUCAUUGUUUGGGGCUGAGUAUUUAAUGAGCUGUUUGUGUUUCACUUCAUAGAGUUUGCUGAAAAGCAACAGCUGAAGAUACUUCAGUUGGUCACAAAGUCAGUUUGUAAACAUCACAGACUGUUCUCCUGUGUUGGCAGCAGAGAAUACCAGGACAGUGUUAGGUGUAUUUGUUUCAUUAAGUUAGUAAUGGGGUGAGGUUGAUAUAGAAAAUGCAAUGGCAAAAACUUGCACUGACUUCCCUCUUCAGAGAUAAUUAUUUAGCUGAAUUCCUGUCUGGUGCCAAAAGAAGCAAAUCAAUUAAAUAAAAGAAUAAAGAAAGACCA
rnacentral:lncRNA from 1 species